rnacentral:rRNA from 1 species
AUAUCAAUAAGCGGAGGAAAAGAAACCAACAGGGAUUACCUCAGUAACGGCGAGUGAAGCGGUAACAGCUCAAAUUUGAAAUCUCCCGUCAGGGCGAGUUGUAAUUUGUAGAAGAUGCUUUGGGUAUGGCCCCGGUCUAAGUUCGUUGGAACACGACGUCAUAGAGGGUGAGAAUCCCGUAUGUGACUGGGUGCUUUUGCCUAUGUAAAGCUCUUUCAACGAGUCGAGUUGUUUGGGAAUGCAGCUCAAAAUGGGUGGUAUAUUUCAUCUAAAGCUAAAUAUUGGCCAGAGACCGAUAGCGCACAAGUA